GCCUCCUUGCCACCCGUCGCUGACGCCGGCGCGGAGAAGAAGGCCGAGCGACUCGCUCUUAGGGUUGGCGAGAACCUCUUCAAUUUCAUGCAGUCCUUCUGCGGGAUUGACGGAAGCCGGCUCGUCGUGCCCAUGGAUAUCCUUGAUCGGUGGUUCAAGAAGUUCCAGGAGCGAGCCCGGAAGGAUCCCAGUUACCUCAAAGGUUUUGCCUUGUGACAGACAGGUGCAACAACUUGAAAGACACAAAGAUAUUGACAAACACAUAAACCAUCAUUUCUUAUUACGAGAUGAAGAGGAUUCUGGUGAAGAAGGAUUAUAGAAGUUAUCUCUAGAUCACGAGGAGUUGUUCUUUAGACUUUCUUUUGUGUAACUUUCAUGGGAAUAGUUAUUUUUUUAUUAUCAAAUUAAUGAUAGAUAUGUAGAUAUUUCUGUUAUUGGAUGAAUGUUGGAUGCACUUCAAUUAAUGAUUAUAGAAUUUUA